CUGUUCCCUCUCUUCAUCUCAAGCCAAGUUCUCUACUAGGGCUCUCCAUCCUCACGUCUCUGAGCUAGCAAAACUCUCCCCUUUUUUCCAGUUUCAGCUUACUGUCAUAGUUCUUGGAGCUGUUGUGCUACAUAGUUAGGGUCUGGUUGUUUUUGGUGCUCAAACGAAGAUGAGAGGGAGGUUCGAGAUGGAUCCGGGAGACGCAGCGGUGCGGCCUAGAUUUCCUUGCUUGGAUGUCUUAGGAGUAGUUCGUGGCCAUGAGGCCUUUUUGUAUUAGUUGCCUUGAGGGCAACCCUUUUGCAAGACUGUUAAACUUUUAGAAUUGUGUUUUCUUAUGGCAUGGUUGUAUGCCCAGGUUUUCCUCUAAGUACUCCUAUGGAUGACUGUAAUAGUUACUUUUCGUACGUUUCAUGUUAAUCUGAUUGGU